rnacentral:snoRNA from 1 species
GGUCAAUAAUGAGACCUUAUAUUGUCUUGAAGAGAAAUAAUAACAUAAAAAUCAUAUUAAUAAAAUUAUGCUAGGGUUC